rnacentral:lncRNA from 1 species
UUUUUCUGGAAACUGCGUCUUAUUCUUGGAAGUCUUUAUCAUUUUAAAACAUAUGUUAUGUUAUAUCACCCUGUCUGAGAUACAGGAUAGCUACAAACUGGGUGGUUUCCCCCCCCCCCCUCUCUUACUGCAGCUAGUUACAUUAUGGAUUAACCUUAAGAAUGUCUGCAGUGAAACAUUACUUGUGUGGCUGUAUACGUGACCAAGGCAGCUUUGAAGCCUUUCUGAAGAAUCCUUCCUCCUUCUGCAGGAUGUUUAAUCUUUCUGUGGAAUUUCUGACUAUGAACCUCAUUCUGCAGACUUUCAUUCUUGUGCCAUACAGAUGAGUAAGAAUUGCUCAGGUAACUGGAAGAUACAAGGAACUAUGGCAAAUUCAGUCCCUGUUACAUCUGUGUGUGACAGGCACAAUUACACCAGAGGGACCAAACUACAGCCUUUCCAUUCUGGGUUCUCUAAAGAUCGGCUGCAAGUAGAACGCUGUCAUGUG